CCUACGGUGUGCUGCAGUGAGGAAUAUUGGUCAAUGGGCGGAAGCCUGAACCAGCCAAGUAGCGUGCAGGAUGACGGCCCUACGGGUUGUAAACUGCUUUUAUACGGGAAUAACGCGCCUUACGUGUAGGGCUUUGCAUGUACCGUAUGAAUAAGGACCGGCUAAUUCCGUGCCAGCAGCCGCGGUAAUACGGAAGGUCCGGGCGUUAUCCGGAUUUAUUGGGUUUAAAGGGAGCGUAGGCCGCAUGUCAAGCGUGCUGUGAAAUGUCCGGGCUCAACCCGGGCCUUGCAGCGCGAACUGGCGUGCUUGAGUCCGCGGAAAGCAGGCGGAAUUCGUCGUGUAGCGGUGAAAUGCUUAGAUAUGACGAAGAACUCCGAUUGCGAAGGCAGCCUGCUGGACUGUAACUGACGCUGAUGCUCGAAAGUGUGGGUAUCAAACAGGAUUAGAGACCCGAGUAGUC
rnacentral:rRNA from 1 species